AAGGGUUUCCUCGGGGCUGCCGGAAUCGGUGCAAUCUCAGAGUCACAGGUCAGGCGCUCUCCCAGCCCCCAACCCCUGGCGGCAGAGCCCUGGGGAGGCGUUAAGAAGGCGGAUGGCAGCGGGGCUCGGCGGCCCAGGGGCGGUCUGGCAGGUUCAGGUUUCCCCGAGUGCCAGCUGAAACGGCGGUCCUUCGCGCUCGGUUGCAGCUGCAAGAGGACCCGGGGCACCCGCUUCCCAGCUGGCUUCCGACCCCAUCCCGGGCGGUGACUUUGUCAUGGCUGAGCACAGCUGCAUUUGUUCUGAUGACCCACUAAUCUGCGCUAGAAAGAGAAUAGAAGAGGAGGAAACAAGUCAUCCUAUGAGGCCAGAAUAAUACCAAAAUCAACAAAAAGCAUCCAAAAAAUGGAACCUACAGACAAAUAUCUCUCAUGAAGUUAAAC
ensembl:lncRNA